UACGGGGGAGCAAGCGUUGUUCGGAUUUACUGGGCGUAAAGGGCGCGUAGGCGGCCACCGCAAGUCAAUUGUGAAAUCUCCGGGCUUAACCCGGAAAGGUCAACUGAUACUGCGGGGCUAGAGUGCGGAAGGGGCAACUGGAAUUCUCGGUGUAGCGGUGAAAUGCGUAGAUAUCGAGAGGAACACCUGCGGCGAAGGCGGGUUGCUGGGCCGACACUGACGCUGAUGCGCGAAAGCCAGGGGAGCGAACGGG
rnacentral:rRNA from 1 species